GAUGAACGCUGGCGGUAUGCCUAACACAUGCAAGUCGUACGAGAGUUUUUAACUCUAGUGGCGGACGGGUGAGUAACACGUGAGAAUUUGCCUUUAGGAGGGGGAUAACAAUUGGAAACGAAUGCUAAUACCCCAUAUGCUUUUGAGUGAAACGGAUUUAUCCGCCUAGAGAGAAGCUCGCGGCCGAUUAGCUUGUUGGUAAGGUAAGAGCUUACCAAGGCGACGAUCAGUAUCUGGUUUGAGAGGACGAUCAGACACACUGGAACUGAGACACGGUCCAGACUCCUACGGGAGGCAGCAGUGGGGAAUUUUCCGCAAUGGGCGAAAGCCUGACGGAGCAAUACCGCGUGAGGGAAGACUGCCUAUGGGUUGUAAACCUCUUUUUUCAGGGAGGAAUAAAUGACGUGUACCUGAAGAAUAAGCAUCGGCUAACUCCGUG
rnacentral:rRNA from 1 species